rnacentral:tRNA from 1 species
AUUUGAGUAGUUUAAUAAAAAAAAUUUUGAUUUGUGGUAUCAAAGAAGUAAAGAAUACCUCAGAUU